rnacentral:rRNA from 1 species
AGCAGCCGCGGUAAUUCCAGCUCCAAUAGCGUAUAUUAAAGUUGUUGCAGUUAAAAAGCUCGUAGUUGAAUUUCGGGGUUAGUAGUUUGGUCGUGCCAAUGGUAUGUACUGGGCUCACUGAUUCCUCCUUCCUGAUGAACUGUAAUGCCAUUAAUUUGGUGUUGCAGGGAAACAGGACUGUUACUUUGAAAAAUUAGAGUGUUUAAAGCAAGCUAACGCUUGAAUACAUUAGCAUGGAAUAAUGAAAUAGGACGUUCGAACCUAUUUUGUUGGUUUCUAGGAUUGACGUAAUGAUUAAUAGGGAUAGUUGGGGGCAUUAGUAUUCAAUUGUCAGAGGUGAAAUUCUUGGAUUUAUUGAAGACUAACUACUGCGAAAGCAUUUGCCAAGGAUGUUUUCAUUAAUCAAGAACGAAAGUUAGGGGAUCGAAGACGAUCAGAUACCGUCGUAGUCUUAACCAUAAACUAUGCCGACUAGGGAUCGGAUGAUGUUAAUUUUUUAAUGUAACUCAUUCGGCGCCUU